AGUUGAUCAGGGGAUUUCCAAGUGAUGUAGUUUUGCUUUUAUCAUGGAUUUAAAUCUUACUGCCAAAAAGGUGCAGGAAAACACACAAAGGUCUAAAGGAAAGGCUAAGAGGGCACACAGUCCUGGAAAUGAAGAUGAAAAGCCAGUAUACAAAAAGCUGAAGAGGCUGGAUUGCCUUGAAAAUAUAUCUCCUGCUAAACGCAGUUUGUUGCCAGACGUUUCCAGAACUUCCUUGGAAUCAUGUAAGAGGAGAAUAGAUGAAUCAAAUUUAAAAUCAAGGAAUAAGCAGGAGCAAAGAGGCGUAAGUGGGCCAACAGGAAGCACAAAUGGUUUGCUGGAUUUGCAGCUCAGAUUACAAAGAAAUUUCAAGAUGUUGAAGGAAAAGAUGGAACCGACUGGACUUGCAGAAAAAUUUCACAAGAUGGGAAUCUUAAAUUCGAAAUCAGUUGAAAAUGUACAAAGCGGCAGUAGUCGUGAAAAGAAGAAUGAAACUCUAAUAAAGGAGAUAUGUAAUAUUAAACCGGAUAGCAGGAAAGAUGUUACCUAUGAAAUGUUUGUUUCAUAUUUGGAAGAAACCGGGCAAGGAAAUAUUGUAUCCGAACUAAGACAAAGCAUGCACAAGCGCCAUAUCCUAGGUAUACAACAUAAUGAAAGGCAUAAUCUGAUGCGUUUCUUUCACGAAAUGAAAGAUGUUUUACUCGAUGAAGUCGAACCAAGGAUAUUCAUAGACAAAAUCGUUGCCAUUGGAGGUAUAACUAUUGACGAACAUGAAGAAAUAACUACAAAGUCUACACGGCGACAAAGAAUUCGUGUUUUGAUAGAAAAAAUCAAAUCGUCUGUGAGCAGUGUCUCUAUAUGGAUCAUCAAUGGAAUGGUAGAAGCUUAUCCGGGUAUUUACACGGCGUUUAAAAAGCAAAAGAAUGGUAAUAGAACCACGACAAAGGAACAAGACGACGGCAAACAAAACGGUUUGGUUUCAAUUGGAUCGUCAGUACAAAUGAAGUAUCAAAUAUCCACCGGAAAUACUUUGGUCGUGGAGGACCAAAAUGAACACGACGAUCCGAUGAGUAAAAUGAAACGAAUGAGGCGGCAAGCGGAAGAAAUAGAGAGACGAAUGGUUGAUAACGUGAACGAAGAUCUGAGUCAGUUAGACACUCUUUUAGAGCAUUGCAUAACAGGAAUUGAGGAAGUAAAGUUUUCUUCAAUCAAAAUACAUUUAAAAGCCCUGUCGAAACAUUCCCUGGAUAAAUUGGUUACCUAUUCACGUUCAAGCGCCGCUAAAAAGCUGUUCUUGUCUUUGAUUGACGAUGAAACAAGGCAAAAACUUUUAGACAUGAAAGCCAAAAUAGUGGUGGAAAUUAUAAACGGUUGCAAGGACAAUGUUGCUACAGCGACUUUUGAAAAUGACUGUUUAUGUACAUUAGAUAAAGAAAGAGUUGCAAACAAUCGUAAAGCACUGACUGCAGGAAUAUGCUGUUCUAAAGCAGUCAUUAAUCGCUUUGUUGAGAGCCAUCUUACAGAUGCUAAAACAAAGGCAUUUUUGAAGAAAAUAAAACCCAUUCCGAAGCGGAAAGAGAGGAAUAAAAAGCUAUUGCAGUUCCUUCUUCAAAGCGAUUCACCAGUAUUCUUCUGUAUACUGGAAGAAGAAAUUAUUAAACAUGGUGGGGCGGAAAUAAUUCGUGCCACGAACAGAGAUCACUUGGCCGAAAGCGAAAAAGUGAAACCAGAUACGUUAAACAAGGCGGACAUCCAGAUCAACAAGGAUUUGCUCUUCAAAGAAUUGGAAGUACAGUGGUUUAUUUCUCACUUAGAAAAGCGGAAAGAUACAGCUACACAAAAGCUCUUAGUCAAGAUUCGUGCAUCGGAGUCCAGAGAUGAAAGACUUGGGCCGUUUAUAGAAUAUAUAUCGAAAGCUCAGGAUCUUAAUUGGUUUUUUGAGGAGAUUAAAACAAGACAUAUGCAUCUAUAUGAUACUUUGCUAUCUAGAAAAACUUCAAACAAUACCAGUAGCUACGAAAGUGUUGAUUUCAAAAGACUUGAAGCUGCAGUGCAUUUCUUUUAUGAUGAAAUCAUCGAAGAGGUUGAUCCAUUGGUUCUCACAAAGUGGCUCGGAAAUGAAACAAAACAAGAGGUGCACUUUUCAAAACUAAGGAAUGUACACAUACGGUCGAAAAGAGCGUCACGCUUCUGCCUUUCAUUGCUGGGUGUUAGUCCAAAGUCAUUGCACGAUGUGUUAAGUGCAAUGAAAGCAUGUGGAUACAAAGAGAUAGUGGACGAUAUCAUCAGAUUGGCACGAGAAGGUCCACUUAACGAUCGAUACAUGUGCCCUAAGAUUAAAAGUACUGUGCAGUGUAAGGAAACAUGUGUGUAUAAGGAUUCAUUCAACUUUGAUGAAAAUUGCAUUGAAGAUUUGCCUCUUCCUACGACAUCAUCUAAGAAAGAAACGCAGAAAGUCGGCAGUGUUCCUGAGGAUGAUACGGAUAGUUGCCAAACCGAGGAUGGCAGUACAAAAACCAGUAUUUAGAGCAAGCAGGAAUGUUAUAAGAAGUCUAUUGGAAAACAAUUAGCGUUCUUUAACCAUUUUGUCUGCAUCUACGAUAACUCAAAAUAGCACACUCUCUGACGCAAGAAAUGACAAAGCAGUAUGUCAAGACAGUUCUUUACGUCUCAAAGAAAUCAG
rnacentral:misc_RNA from 1 species